GUGCAUGCUUUGGCAACACAUAUACUAAAAUUGAAACAAUACAGAAAAGAUUAGUGUGGCACCUGUACAAGGAUGACAGAGAAGUUCAUGAAGCAUCCCGUCUUUGU